rnacentral:rRNA from 1 species
UACGGAGGGUGCAAGCGUUGUCCGGAUUUAUUGGGUUUAAAGGGUGCGUAGGCGGCCCGUUAAGUCAGUGGUGAAAGCCUCCAGCUCAACUGGAGAACUGCCAUUGAUACUGGCGGGCUUGAGUACAGACGAGGUAGGCGGAAUUGAUUGUGUAGCGGUGAAAUGCAUAGAUACAAUCAAGAACACCGAUUGCGUAGGCAGCUUACUAGGCUGUAACUGACGCUGAGGCACGAAAGCGUGGGGAACGAACAGG